GCAGCCUCUCUCUGCAAAUAGAUUGCGCCUGUCAUUCUGCCUGUUCAUCACGCUAUCAUCUAAAAGACAAAAUAAGAAGAGUGCCCAGCCAUGUAGCCAACAUUUCUGGCCAACAGAAAACUCUUGGAGGUAGAUAUCCAUGGUAAGAACAGUUUGUAUAUUUUCUACAACUGUUUAUACAUUUCAGCUCAUCACAAAACAUGUUUAAUUAAGGUUACAUCUUCAGGCUUAGUAGAAUAAUUUAGUAAUUUGUGUAUUUUGGUAAUUAUAAUCUCCACCUGUCACCAUGUCUCAUAGCAAUCAUAGAUAAUACCUGAAGCACAUAUAGCACUCAUAGGCGGUUCAUUGCUCAUUAAUUCUCAAGCAAGAAUUUUUUGAGCAGAGCUCAUCCUGUCAUCACUGUGUGUGCUUCCUAUAGCUUGCUAUGAGAAUUUGUGAUUGGCACAUGAGGCAUUUUGACCACAGCUGUUGUGUGCCUUAUGUCAGCAUAUAUUUGAAUGCACUCUGUGACUUCAGCAUUAGGACAAGGGCACACUAAGUGGAUUGACCACUUUUCUCCACAGGCAUUUUUAUAUAUGUGGAGGAAAGCAGAUACCCCCUUAUGUGCACACCCCUGUAACCCCAUUGACAGACCCAACUUUAGCCUGUGUGGAGCUACAUGGAGCAAAUAUUGGCAAUGCCGGAUUUACAAUUUUGGCUCCCAGAGGCCGCCCCCAUUCCCAAUCCACUUAGUGUGCCCUUGCCCUUAGAUGGAAGCUCUGCCUAGCAAACAUCGCUAGUAUAGCCACCUCAUAUUUUCCUUGUUACUGCACUCAGUUUUUGUUUUCUUUUAUUAUAUUCACUACUAAUUUCACCUUGUUAUUUGAAAUGCUAUAAUCAUAGAAUAAACUCACUUCCCCAAAUGCUUGACAUUUAUUCAAAAGUCUGAACUGAAAAGAAGCAGGAAAAAGUUUUGUAACUUUGAAAUAUUUUGAAUAUUUGGACUUGUCACACCGAAACUUCUACUAUUUCGAAUUGUCGGACAAAAAUACAAAACCUCAAGUUUCAAAGCAAAAGAAGGAUCCUCCAUGGAAGGGACAUCUGCCAUUGACUCCAUAGCUGGCGAAUAGAUGGAUUUGGAUUUUCAUGAUUUUUGAUGCAUAGUAAAUUUCGAAAAAUUCACGUUCUUUUUCUUUGACUUUUUUUCUUUGACUUUUAGCAGGGAAAAAAACAUCUAAGCGUCAGUAAAUGGCCCCCUUAGUCUUUCUCUGCAGGGAAUAGCAGAGACUUGAGUCUUUGCUCUGUUUGUUACUUUUACUGAAAUGAAUAUAGGUGUCUUAUAGAGUUCUUUAGAAAGUUCAAAGCCUCUUUAUGCUAACUAAACUUAGAGCUCUGACAUUAAAGAUUUAGUAGAACAAUCAAAUUUGUCAUCUAUUUGCAUUUAAGAUAAUUAGUUCUAUAAGGAAAUGAGCACUUCAUAUUUGGGUUAAUGCAGAUGUUUCAGCAGGUUCU